UCUAGUAUAAGCAUAUAUACCGUGAAACUGCGAAUGGCUCAUUAUAUCAGUUAUAGUUUAUUUGAUAGUACCUUACUACUUGGAUAACCGUGGUAAUUCUAGAGCUAAUACAUGCUAAAAACCUCGACUUCGGAAGGGGUGUAUUUAUUAGAUAAAAAACCAAUGCCCUUCGGGGCUCCUUGGUGAUUCAUGAUAACUUAACGAAUCGCAUGGCCUUGUGCCGGCGAUGGUUCAUUCAAAUUUCUGCCCUAUCAACUUUCGAUGGUAGGAUAGUGGCCUACCAUGGUUUCAACGGGUAACGGGGAAUUAGGGUUCUAUUCCGGAGAGGGAGCCUGAGAAACGGCUACCACAUCCAAGGAAGGCAGCAGGCGCGCAAAUUACCCAAUCCCGACACGGGGAGGUAGUGACAAUAAAUACUGAUACAGGGCUCUUUUGGGUCUUGUAAUUGGAAUGAGUACAAUUUAAAUCCCUUAACGAGGAACAAUUGGAGGGCAAGUCUGGUGCCAGCAGCCGCGGUAAUUCCAGCUCCAAUAGCGUAUAUUAAAGUUGUUGCAGUUAAAAAGCUCGUAGUUGAACCUUGGGCCUGGCUGGCCGGUCCGCCUCACCGCGUGCACUGGUCCGGCCGGGCCUUUCCUUCUGGGGAGCCGCAUGCCCUUCACUGGGUGUGUCGGGGAACCAGGACUUUUACUUUGAAAAAAUUAGAGUGUUCAAAGCAGGCCUAUGCUCGAAUACAUUAGCAUGGAAUAAUAGAAUAGGACGUGUGGUUCUAUUUUGUUGGUUUCUAGGACCGCCGUAAUGAUUAAUAGGGAUAGUCGGGGGCAUCAGUAUUCCGUUGUCAGAGGUGAAAUUCUUGGAUUUACGGAAGACUAACUACUGCGAAAGCAUUUGCCAAGGAUGUUUUCAUUAAUCAGUGAACGAAAGUUAGGGGAUCGAAGACGAUCAGAUACCGUCGUAGUCUUAACCAUAAACUAUGCCGACUAGGGAUCGGGCGAUGUUAUCUUUUUGACUCGCUCGGCACCUUACGAGAAAUCAAAGUUUUUGGGUUCUGGGGGAG
rnacentral:rRNA from 1 species